rnacentral:rRNA from 1 species
AACGAACGCUGGCGGCGUGCCUAACACAUGCAAGUCGUACGAGAAAUCUGGAGCAAUCUGGAGAGUACAGUGGCGCACGGGCGAGUAACGCGUGGGUAACCUACCCUUGGGUUGGGGAUAACUCCUCGAAAGGGGUGCUAAUACCGGAUAACAUUUCGAUCUCCACGGGGAUUGAAAUCGAAGGUGGCCUCUGCAUGCAAGCUACUGCCCGGGGAUGGGCCCGGGUACCAUUAGCUAGUUGGUAGGGUAAUGGCCUACCAAGGCUGCGAUGGUUAGCUGGUCUGAGAGGAUGGCCAGCCACACUGGAACUGAGACACGGUCCAGACUCCUACGGGAGGCAGCAGUGGGGAAUCUUGCGCAAUGGGGGAAACCCUGACGCAGCAACGCCGCGUGGGUGAUGAAGGCAUUCGGUUCGUAAAGCCCUGUCAGGUGGAAAGAAACCCAUCGGUGCAAACAGCACCGGUGAUUGACGGUACCACCGGAGGAAGCACCGGCUAACUCCGUGCCAGCAGCCGCCGUAAAAC